GCCCGCAUGGCUCAGUGGUAGAGCGUGUCACUAGUAAACCCCUGGUUUAUGACAAGGUCGCUAGUUCGAUUCUGGCUGUGGGCA